rnacentral:misc_RNA from 1 species
GAUGAAGAACGUAGCAAAAUGCGAUACUUGGUGUGAAUUGCAGAAUCCCGUGAACCAUCGAGUUUUUGAACGCAAGUUGCGCCCGAAGCCUUUUGGCCGAGGGCACGUCUGCCUGGGCGUCACGCAUCGCGUCGCCCCCCACAAUUCUCCGUAAAGGGAACAUGUGUUUUGGGGGCGGAUAUUGGUCUCCCGUGCUCAUGGCGUGGUUGGCCGAAAUAGGAGUCCUUUCGAUGGACGCACGAACUAGUGGUGGUCGUAAAAACCCUCGUCUUUUGUUUCGUGCUGUUGGUCGCAAGGUAAACUCUUUAAAAACCCCAAUGUGUCGUCUCUUGACGACGCUUCGACCGCGACCCCAGGUCAGGCGGGACUAGCCGCUGAGUUUAAGCAUAUCAAUAAGCGGAGGA